CGGACGGGUGAGUAAUGUCUGGGAAACUGCCUGAUGGAGGGGGAUAACUACUGGAAACGGUAGCUAAUACCGCAUAACGUCGCAAGACCAAAGAGGGGACCUUAGGGCCUCUUGCCAUCGGAUGUGCCCAGAUGGGAUUAGCUAAUAGGUGGGGUAACGGCUCACCUAGGCGACGAUCCCUAGCUGGUCUGAGAGGAUGACCAGCCACACUGGAACUGAGACACGGUCCAG
rnacentral:rRNA from 1 species